GGGGGGGGGGGGGGGGGGGGGGGGGGGGGGGGGGGGGGGGGGGGGGGGGGGGGGCGGGCUGCUCUGAGGUUGGCGGCGGAGGGGGGAGUAACGCGUGGAUAACCUACCUAUAAGACUGGGAUAACUUCGGGAAACCGGAGCUAAUACCGGAUAAUAUAUUGAACCGCAUGGUUCAAUAGUGAAAGACGGUUUUGCUGUCACUUAUAGCUGGAUCCGCGCCGCAUUAGCUAGUUGGUAAGGUAACGGCUUACCAAGGCAACGAUGCGUAGCCGACCUGAGAGGGUGAUCGGCCACACUGGAACUGAGACACGGUCCAGACUCCUACGGGAGGCAGCAGUAGGGAAUCUUCCGCAAUGGGCGAAAGCCUGACGGAGCAACGCCGCGUGAGUGAUGAAGGUCUUCGGAUCGUAAAACUCUGUUAUUAGGGAAGAACAAAUGUGUAAGUAACUAUGCACGUCUUGACGGUACCUAAUCAGAAAGCCACGGCUAACUACGUG
rnacentral:rRNA from 1 species